rnacentral:rRNA from 1 species
GAUGAACGCUGGCGGCGUGCCUAAUGCAUGCAAGUCGAGCGAACAGACGAUGAGCUUGCUCCUCUCACGUUUGGGGCGGACGUGUGUGUAACAUGUGUAUACCCCACCUGUCAGACUGAUAAAACUACGAGACUCCGGCUCUUAUAGGGGAGAAGCUCUUGAUCCGCAUUGGGGAAUAGUGAAAUACGGUUUUUCGGUCAGGUAUAGAUGGAUCCGCGCCGCAUGAGCUAGUUGGUAAGUUAACGGCUUACGAAGGCAACGAUGCGUAGCCGACCUGAGGGAGUGAUCGGCGACACUGGAAGUGAGACACGGUCCAGACGACUACGGGAGGCCGCAGUAGGGAAUGGUACGCAGUGGGCGAAAGCAUGACGGAGCAACGCCGAGUCAGUGAUGAAGGUCUUGGGAUCGUAAAACUCUGUUACUAGGGAAGAACAACUGUGUCAGUAACCAUGCACGUCUUGACGGUACUGGAUAAGAAAGCCCCGGCUAACUACGUG